AGAAUGUGCAUCAUUACAUCAGAAGUCCUCUCUUUUUAUUAGAUGAUCGCAAACGUCGCUUACGUCAUCCCAUUCUACCCGUUCUUGAUUGAAAAUGUUCUAAUAGCAGUAUAUAUGGAGUUGGAACGGAGAAAGGGAUCGUUACAUCAGGAGUCCUCUGUGUUUACUGGGUGAUCGCAAACAUUGCUUACAUCAUCCAAUUCUACCUACACUUGAUUGAAAUGAAACAUAGUCCAAUAUCACUUUCAUCAUUCCAUUCUACUUACCCUUAAUUGAAAAGGAGUAUGAAACAUUGCUGCUGGGUUUUGUGAUGUCCAACAUUUACUUCCUCAUGAGUGUGACCCAGCUUGUGUUGAGUUGCAAAUCAGAAGAGGUACCAGUUACUACAAGGAAGGU